CGGCCCGCACAAGCAGCGGAGCGUGUGGUUUAAUUCGAUGUUACACGAAGAACCUUACCAGGGUUUGACAUGCAAGUGGUAGGAAGCCCGAAAGGUGACCGACCCUUCGGGGAGCUUGCACAGGUGCUGCAUGGCUGUCGUCAGCUCGUGUCGUGAGAUGUUCGGUUAAGUCCGCUAACGAGCGCAACCCUCGCUGUGUGUUAUAUGUGUCACACGGGACUGCCGGUCUUAAGCCGGAGGAAGGUGGGGAUGAUGUCAAGUCAGCAUGGCCUUUAUAUCCUGGGCUACACACACGCUACAAUGGCCAACACAAUAGGUUGCUAAGCCGCGAGGUGGCGCCAAUCCAUAAAGUUGGUCUCAGUUCAGAUUGUAGGCUGCAACCCGCCUGCAUGAAGAUGGAGUUGCUAGUAACCGCAGGUCAGCUAUACUGCGGUGAAUACGUUCCCGGGCCUU
rnacentral:rRNA from 1 species